GAUGAACGCUGGCGGCGUGCCUAAUACAUGCAAGUCGAGCGAACAGACGAGGAGCUUGCUCCUCUGACGUUAGCGGCGGACGGGUGAGUAACACGUGGAUAACCUACCUAUAAGACUGGGAUAACUUCGGGAAACCGGAGCUAAUACCGGAUAAUAUAUUGAACCGCAUGGUUCAAUAGUGAAAGACGGUUUUGCUGUCACUUAUAGAUGGAUCCGCGCCGCAUUAGCUAGUUGGUAAGGUAACGGCUUACCAAGGCAACGAUGCGUAGCCGACCUGAGAGGGUUGUCGGCCACACUGGAACUGAGACACGGUCCCGACUCCUACGGGAGGCAGCAGUAGGGAAUCUUCAGCAAUGCGCGAAAGCCUGACGGAGCAACGCCGCGUGAGUGAUGAAGGUCUUCGGAUCGUAAAACUCUGUUAUUAGGGAAGAACAAAUGUGUAAGUAACUAUGCACGUCUUGACGGUACCUAAGCAGAAAGCCACGGCUAACUACGUG
rnacentral:rRNA from 1 species